CUUGCAAAAUAUAAGAGGUCCAGCCUGCCCAGUGACUCUGUUCAACGGCCGCGGUAUCCUAACCGUGCGAAGGUAGCGUAAUCACUUGUUCUUUAAAUGUGGACUAGUAUGAAUGGCACCACGAGGGUUAUACUGUCUCCUUUCUCUAAUCAGUGAAACUGAUCUCCCCGUGAAGAAGCGGGGAUACACCUAUAAGACGAGAAGACCCUAUGGAGCUUUAAACAAAAUAGCACUUGCCCUACAACACAAAAAUUCCUGAAUCACUAAUACACCUGGCAAUAUGACUAUAAGUUUUUGGUUGGGGUGACCACGGAGUACAACACAACCUCCGUAUUGAAAGAAUACUAUUCUAAGCUAAGAACUACGAAUCUAAGCAUCAAAACACUGACAUCUAUUGACCCAAUACAAUUGAACAACGAACCAAGUUACCCUAGGGAUAACAGCGCAAUCCACUUCGAGAGCUCCUAUCGACAAGUGGGUUUACGACCUCGAUGUUGGAUCAGGGUCUCCCAGUGGUGCAGCCGCUACUAAUGGUUCGUUUGUUCAACGAUUAAAACCCU
rnacentral:rRNA from 1 species